rnacentral:rRNA from 1 species
CUUUGAUAUUAACUUACCCCUAAUAUCCGCCAGGGAACUACAAGCGUUAGCUUAAAACCCAAAGGACUUGGCGGUGCCUCACACCCACCUAGAGGAGCCUGUUCUUGAAUCGAUAAUCCCCGUUCAACCUCACCACCCCUUGUUAGACCCGCCUAUAUACCGCCGUCGUCAGCUCACCCUGUGAAGGACUUAAAGUGAGCAAAAUGGGCAAAACCCAAAACGUCAGGUCAAGGUGCAGCGUAUGGGGUGGGAAGAAAUGGGCUACAUUACCUACAACAGGUCACUACGGAUGGGGCCGUGAAACCGGCCCCUAAAGGUGGAUUUAGCAGUAAGGGGGAAAUAGAGCGUUCCUCUGAAGCCGGCUCUGAGGCGCGCACACACCGCCCGUCACCC